rnacentral:rRNA from 1 species
AGAGUUUGAUCCUGGCUCAGAAUGAACGUUGGCGGCGUGGAUUAGGCAUGCAAGUCGUGCGGCAGCAGGCCCCGCAAGGGGUGCUGGCGAGCGGCGUAAGGGAGAGUAACACGCGGGUACCUACCCUCAGGACCGGGAUAGCUGCGGGAAACUGCAAUUAAUACCGGAUGAUGUCUCCGGACCAAAGGUGUAAUCCCGCCGGAGGAGGGGCCCACGUCCUAUCAGCUAGUUGGAGAGGUAAUGGCUCACCAAGGCUACGACGGGUACGGGGUGUGAGAGCAUGCCCCCGCUCACUGGGACUGAGACACUGCCCAGACACCUACGGGUGGCUGCAGUCGAGAGUCUUCCGCAAUGGGCGAAAGCCUGACGGAGCGACGCCGCGUGCGGGAUGAAGGCCUUCGGGUUGUAAACCGCUGUCAGUGGGGAGCAAAUGCACGGGGGUUCUCCCUCGUGUUUGAGCGAUCCGCAGAGGAAGCGCAGGCUAAGUUCGUGCCAGCAGCCGCGGUAACACGAACUGCGCAAACGUUAUUCGGAAUCACUGGGCUUAAAGAGUUCGUAGGCGGCGCGUUAAAUCGGGUGUGAAAUCCCUCGGCUCAACCGAGGAAUUGCGUCCGAAACUAGCGUGCUCGAGUAAGAUAGAGGUGAGCGGAACUGAUGGUGGAGCGGUGAAAUGCGUUGAUAUCAUCAGGAGCACCGGUGGCGAAAGCGGCUCACUGGGUCUUUACUGACGCUGAGGAACGAAAGCUAGGGGAGCGAACGGGAUUAGAUACCCCGGUAGUCCUAGCCGUAAACGAUGAGCACU